AUUGAACGCUGGCGGCAGGCCUAACACAUGCAAGUCGAGCGAGCGGCGGACGGGUGAGUAAUGUCUGGGGACUGCCCGAUAGAGGGGGAUAACUACUGGAAACGGUAGCUAAUACCGCAUACUAUCGGAUAACCCAUAUGGGAUUAGCUAGUAGGUGAGGUAAUGGCUCACCUAGGCGACGAUCCCUAGCUGGUCUGAGAGGAUGAUCAGCCACACUGGGACGGAGACACGGCCCAUACUCCUAGGGAGGCAGCAGUGGGGAAUAUUGCACAAUGGGCGCAAGCCGGAUGCAGCCAUGCCGCGUGUAGGAAGAAGGCCGUAGGGUUGUAAAGUACUUUCAGUGGGGAGGCGUUACCGGCAGAAGAAGCACCGGCUAACUCCGUGCCAGCAGCCGCGGUAAUUC
rnacentral:rRNA from 1 species